rnacentral:rRNA from 1 species
UACAGAGGUCUCAAGCGUUGUUCGGAUUCAUUGGGCGUAAAGGGCGCGUAGGCGGCGGGGUAAGUCUGGUGUGAAAUCUCGGAGCUCAACUCCGAAAUUGCACUGGAUACUGCUCUGCUAGAGGGCUGGAGAGGAGAUCGGAAUUCACGGUGUAGCAGAGAAAUGCGUAGAUAUCGUGAGGAAGACCAGUGGCGAAGGCGGAUCUCUGGACAGCUCCUGACGCUGAGGCGCGAAGGCUAGGGGAGCAAACGGG